CGGGACGGGUGAGUAAUGUAUGGGGAUCUGCCUGAUGGCGGGGGGUAACUACUGGAAACGGUAGCUAAUACCGCAUAAUGUCUGCGGACCAAAGCGGGGGACCUCCGGGCCUCGCGCCAUCAGAUGAACCCAUAUGGGAUUAGCUAGUAGGUAAGGUAACGGCUUACCUAGGCGACGAUCCCUAGCUGGUCUGAGAGGAUGAUCAGCCACACUGGGACUGAGACACGGCCCAG
rnacentral:rRNA from 1 species